rnacentral:rRNA from 1 species
AUUGAACGCUGGCGGCAGGCCUAACACAUGCAAGUCGCGCGAGCGGCGGACGGGUGAGUAAUGACUGGGAAACUGCCUGAUGGAGGGGGAUAACUACUGGAAACGGUAGCUAAUACCGCAUACCAUCAGAUGUGCCCAGAUGGGAUUAGCUAGUAGGUGGGGUAAUGGCUCACCUAGUCGACGAUCCCUAGCUGGUCUGAGAGGAUGAACAGCCACACUGGAACUGAGACACGGUCCAGACUCCUACGGUAGUCAGCAGUGGGUAAUAUUGCACAAUGGGCGCAAGCCUGAUGCAGCCAUGCCGCGUGUAGGAAGAAGGCCUUCGGGUUGUAAAGUACUUUCAGCGGGGAGUCGUUACCCGCAGAAGAAGCACCGGCUAACUCCGUGCCAGCAGCCGCGGUAAUUC